rnacentral:rRNA from 1 species
GAUGAACGCUGGCGGCGUGCCUAAUACAUGCAAGUCGAGCGAACAGAUGAGGAGCUUGCUCCUCUGACGUUAGCGGCGGACGGGUGAGUAACACGUGGAUAACCUUCCUAUAAGACUGGGAUAACUUCGGGAAACCGGAGCUAAUACCGGAUAAUAUAUUGAACCGCAUGGUUCAAUAGUGAAAGACGGUUUUGCUGUCACUUAUAGAUGGAUCCGCGCCGCAUUAGCUAGUUGGUAAGGUAACGGCUUACCAAGGCAACGAUGCGUAGCCGACCUGAGAGGGUGAUCGGCCACACUGGAACUGAGACACGGUCCAGACCCCUACGGGAGGCAGCAGUAGGGAAUCUUCCGCAAUGGGCGAAAGCCUGACGGAGCAACGCCGCGUGAGUGAUGAAGGUCUUCGGAUCGUAAAACUCUGUUAUUAGGGAAGAACAAAUGUGUAAGUAACUAUGCACGUCUUGACGGUACCUAAUCAGAAAGCCACGGCUAACUACGUG